rnacentral:sRNA from 1 species
UUACAGUUAUGGUGAUAUGGUACCUCAUACAAUUCCUGGUAAAGUAGUAGGUGGUGUAUGUUCACUUAGUGGUGUCUUAGUUAUAGCAUUGCCAGUACCUGUUAUAGUUUCUAAU